GUCAAUUAUUAUCAUAUAAGAUUGCGCAUUCAAGUCAUAUUGUUCAUUGCAGUUCACCAUUGAUUAAUGUGCUUUGUGUAUUUCUACGAAGUAAAGUUUAUUCCGCAUACUCUAGUGGCAGUGCAGUUCACCAUUGAUUAAUAUAUGCUUCGUAUUUCUGUGCUAAUUACUAAGCUUAUGCUAAAAGCCUAAACGUUAUCCCAAUGUCUACUUUCCUUCAACAAGAAAAAAU